rnacentral:rRNA from 1 species
GCUUAACACAUGCAAGUCGAGGGGCAGCGGUGGUGAAGGCUUGCCUUUACCAGCCGGCGACCGGCGCACGGGUGAGUAACACGUAUGCAACCUGCCUGCCACAGCCGGAUAAUCGGGAGAAAUUCCGUCUAAUACGGCAUAAUGCAUCGACGGGACAUCCUGUUGGUGCCAAAGGUUGAUUCCGGUGGCGGAUGGGCAUGCGUCGCAUUAGUUAGUUGGCGGUGUAACGGACCACCAAGACGACGAUGCGUAGGGGUUCUGAGAGGAAGGUCCCCCACACUGGUACUGAGACACGGACCAGACUCCUACGGGAGGCAGCAGUGAGGAAUAUUGGUCAAUGGGCGGGAGCCUGAACCAGCCAAGUCGCGUGAGGGAUGACGGUCCUAUGGGUUGUAAACCUCUUUUGCCGGGGAGCAAAGUGCCGCACGUGUGCGGUUUGGAGAGUACCCGGAGAAAAAGCAUCGGCUAACUCCGUGCCAGCAGCCGCGGUAAUACGGAGGAUGCGAGCGUUAUCCGGAUUUAUUGGGUUUAAAGGGUGCGUAGGCGGACGCUUAAGUCAGCGGUAAAAUUGCGGGGCUCAACCUCGUCGAGCCGUUGAAACUGGGUGCCUUGAGUGGGCGAGAAGUACGCGGAAUGCGUGGUGUAGCGGUGAAAUGCAUAGAUAUCACGCAGAACUCCGAUUGCGAAGGCAGCGUACCGGCGCCCUACUGACGCUGAAGCACGAAGGCGUGGGUAUCGAACAGGAUUAGAUACCCUGGUAGUCCACGCAGUAAACGAUGAAUGCUAGUUGUCCGGGGCGAUUGAGUUCUGGGUGACACAGCGAAAGCGUAAGCAUUCCACCUGGGGAGUACGCCGGCAACGGUGAAACUCAAAGGAAUUGACGGGGGCCCGCACAAGCGGAGGAACAUGUGGUUUAAUUCGAUGAUACGCGAGGAACCUUACCCGGGCUCAAACGCAGGAGGGAUGUUUUUGAAAGGAGGCAGCCAGCAAUGGUCUCCUGCGAGGUGCUGCAUGGUUGUCGUCAGCUCGUGCCGUGAGGUGUCGGCUUAAGUGCCAUAACGAGCGCAACCCCUACCUACAGUUGCCAUCGCGUGAUGGCGGGCACUCUGUGGGGACUGCCUGCGCAAGCAGUGAGGAAGGCGGGGAUGACGUCAAAUCAGCACGGCCCUUACGUCCGGGGCGACACACGUGUUACAAUGGCAGGUACAGCGGGAAGCCACCCGGCGACGGGGCGCGGAACCCGAAAACCUGUCUCAGUUCGGAUUGGAGUCUGCAACCCGACUCCAUGAAGCUGGAUUCGCUAGUAAUCGCGCAUCAGCCACGGCGCGGUGAAUACGUUCCCGGGCCUUGUACACACCGCCCGUCAAGCCAUGGAAGCCGGGGGUGCCUGAAGUG